GCAAUGAUAGUUCAGUUGGGAGAACGGCUGGCAAAAACAAUGUUGUUAAAAAUACAUUGUAGACAGCAAAACAAACCAGCAGGUCGCAAGUUCGACUCUUGCUCAUUGCA
rnacentral:tRNA from 1 species